rnacentral:rRNA from 1 species
CACGAACCGUACGAACGUUAUUCGGAAUUACUGGGCUUAAAGGGUUUGUAGGCGGCCAUGUAAGUGGGGUGUGAAAUCCCUCGGCUCAACCGAGGAACAGCGCUCCAAACUGUAUGGCUUGAGGGAGACAGGGGUAAGCGGAACUGAUGGUGGAGCGGUGAAAUGCGUUGAUAUUGGGAAGAACACCAGCGGCGAAAGCGCGCUACUGGGCCAUUACUGACACUCAUGGACGAAAGCUAGGGGAGCGAAAGGG